rnacentral:rRNA from 1 species
GGAAUCUUCCGCAAUGGGCGAAAGCCUGACGGAGCAACGCCGCGUGAGUGAAGAAGGAUUUCGGUUCGUAAAGCUCUGUUGUUAGGGAAGAAUGAUUGUGUAGUAACUAUACACAGUAGAGACGGUACCUAACCAGAAAGCCACGGCUAACUACGUGCCAGCAGCCGCGGUAAUACGUAGGUGGCAAGCGUUGUCCGGAAUUAUUGGGCGUAAAGCGCGCGCAGGUGGUUUAAUAAGUCUGAUGUGAAAGCCCACGGCUCAACCGUGGAGGGUCAUUGGAAACUGUUAAACUUGAGUGCAGGAGAGAAAAGUGGAAUUCCUAGUGUAGCGGUGAAAUGCGUAGAGAUUAGGAGGAACACCAGUGGCGAAGGCGGCUUUUUGGCCUGUAACUGACACUGAGGCGCGAAAGCGUGGGGAGCAAA